UCGACAUCCCCAGCACAUAAAGGAGCCCUUGACAUGUAGUGGCCCCUCAAUAAGUAUUUUUUGAAUUAUUGAAUGCUAUGCCUUUCUUUCUUAUUAUACCAGAAAUCUGAGAGGACACAAGAGGCCAGACCUGCCAUCUUACCCCCUCAGGGAGCCUGAGACUGAGCCAACAGAGCACAAAGCAUGCGGCAGGUAGAGACACGUGAUUAUAUCUGGGAGCCCUGAAUCUCGCCAUGCCUGAAGCCAGAGCUGCCCUUGGUCUUCUCACUUCCAUGAGCCAGAGAUAUGGAACAAAGAAUACAAGACUUAGCAGAGAGAAACGUCUACUCCAUGGAGGCACUCAACCAUGAAAACAUUUUUGAAAGAUAGAGAUGGGCACUGAACGAGGGAGGAAAUGCCUGAGCUGAGCAGGGCUGUUGUGCUCCUAGAAUGGAAUUAUGUGUAAGACAAUGCUUUGUGAACUAUAAAAUGAUGAACUCAUCUCAAGCAUUACUAUUAGAUAAUAAACUACUGAGAAACAUUCUCAGAAUUCAUCCAUUCAUCUUAUACUUGGUACCGUUCCAUUUUGAUCAUUAACUACCUACACACACGUCACUUUUUAAGUUCUGUAACUGUUCUUAAACUCAGGAAUGAUAACAGUGGUCAACACCUAUUGAAUGGUCAAUAUAUGCCACGUACCGUGCUGGGUGCUUUUCGUGCCCUUGUCUCUAUAAUCCUCAAAGAGUCCUAGGAGAUGGACACCAUAUGCCUAUUUUACAGAUGGCAAAACUGAGGUUCAAAAGAGUUAAGUAUUUGGCCUGAGGUCAAGUGGCAAGAAAGCUGCAGAGUCAUGAGCUUGGUCAAUAACCCAAGUAUUUGGAGCCCUUGGAAUGGAAGCUAUUAGCCACAGCACUAUUCUCUCUCCCAAGGAAGGUAUGAACCAAACAUUCUUCAAACCGGGCAGGAAGGAGCACUGCAUGCCCAGGAGUCCCUGGUGUGGCGACCGAACAGACAGCAGAGACUCUGUGUAUGCAGACUGCCAGACACUCCACUCGCUUCCCCCGAGUCACACAGGCUGAGCUGCUGCUGUGUUUUAAAAUACACGCAUCCAGGGGCGCCUGGGUGGCUCAGUCGGUUGAGCGUCCGACUUCGGCU